UAACGUUGUGUUUUCAGUACCAUGUCUUAAUAUAUUCGGGCGUUAUGUUUUAUUAAGCAAACGUAAAAAGUGUUAAUUAUUUUCAGCUGGUGAGAAUUUAGUGACGCUUAAAAUGAUCUUAGAAACAUGCCCUUAUUGUGGAAGGCCUUUUAAAAGGCUUAAAGCUCAUCUUCCUCACUGCAAGUUGUCCCCAUGUACCAAGCCCACAAAAAGCAGUAACAUUCUUAAAGAAAUCCAGACUAAUACUUCUCAAAAAAUAACUAAUAAUAUAAAGACUAACAAGAAGCUGAAGAACUCAUCAUUUCAGACUAACUCAAAAACAAACCAAAAACCCAAAUCUAAAGACUUUGGAAAUGCCAUUGUGGAUAAGCAAAACUGUUUGACCAACGGUCAAGAAACUGUGACUGAAGUGCCAACAGCAGAGGGGCUUACCACAGACACUGUAAAGCCCAAAAUGAAAUGGCUUGCAAAAAGAGAGGAAGAGAUGUUGAAACAAGCUAACUUUUUAACAUGGAAAGAAAUCAAAUUAAAAUCUAUUUCUAAGCAGGAAGACCAUAACAGAAAAACAAGUCCAGAGAAAGAAACACCUCUGUUAAAUACAGCCAAUACAACCACAAUAACCACCAACAUAAAAACCACUGAGAGCUUCAGGGUUAAACAAACCUCACCAACACCUAUAAUACAUACAGACAUCUUGGAGCAGAUACAGUCUAUCCCAGAGAAUUUCACCAACGACUAUUCACUGAAUCAAAAAAUCCAAGAGCAAACAGAUGUGACUUUCAUGCAAGCCAAGACUAGUGUGUGGGACCACAUUAAAUAUGGACUUCAUGACAGGAGAUCAGAUUGUGUUCCAUUGAUACACAAAGUGUGUAAGUGGAAUAAUCUUGUAGAUCAUACAGUGAAUAAUGAGAAUGCUACAAUAGAUAGUUCAUCUUUGCAGGUGCUACCAAAUGUCCAAACCUCAUCCCAAAGGCCAGUUGAACAGAUUCUUAGUUCACAGCUGCAAAACAUUAACAUUAUGGGGUACACACCUGACAUGGCAACUGGCUAUAAGGCACUAUUCUUUUCACCUCAUUCAGAAAUGACCUAUAAUGAGGAUUUAUUGACCAAGCAUCAGUCUUCAAAGUCAUCUCCUCAGAGUCAAGAUUAUAUAAAAGAGCAGAAACUGGGAGAUGUGAAACUGAGAGAGGCUGCUGUUUGGCUUGGCUCUCGGGCACCAACUUCAUCAAGAGAGGCCAUGGCAAUGCUAAACAAAGGUUGGCAGUGGUAUUACAGGAAGUACAUAGAUGUCAAGAGAGGAGGAAUUGGUGGGAUUGCAAUGCUGGUUGCUGGUUACUGUGUCCUAAGUUAUAUAUGGAAUUACCCCCAUCUUAAGCAAGAACGCUGGAGAAAGUACCAUUAGAGUAUGAAGAAUAUGAAGUGUUUGAACCAUAAUGACCUCAGACUGCUACGGCAAAAUAUGAAGCUUCAAGAACAGAGUCUGUGUCUGAUAUUUGAACAUGACUAUGAGCUGUGGAUUGGACCUGACUAUGAGCUGUGGAUUGGACCUGACUAUGAGCUGUGGAUUGGACCUGACUAUGAGCUGUGGAUUGAACCUGACUAUGAGCUGUGGAUUGGACCUGACUAUGAGCUGUGGAUUGGACCUGACUAUGAGCUGUGGAUUGGACCUGACUAUGAGCUGUGGAUUGGACCUGUCCUGAGGGACAGAGCUGUUCAGAGCUGUGCAGGGAAUGGCUGGGAGAUGUUGAGUGAUGAGCAGGGUGAACGUGUUGGUGGUUCUGACUGCCAUUGCUGCUACUGAUGACAUUACUGGCCCUCUUUUUCUUAAUGUUUAUGCUGAUCUUGAUGGGGGCUUCUUUGUGCCCCCCACCCCCUGGAUCCUCAUGUGUGUAUGCUUCUGUCCUAUAACCAGGUUUUAUGGAGCCCCCUGUCCUCUCUUCAACGCCUUCAGUAUGUGUCGUGUUUUGCCUGGGUGAUGUCUCCAAUAAACUGGGAAUCCCUUUAUGAUGACUUGAAUCUGUGGAUCCUUUUGUGUUCAAAAGUUUUUUCUUAGGCCCACAGCAGAACUCCUCUAGAAAGCUGUCUGCAAUGCAAGGAUAUGCUUUAUUAAUACUGGCAAAAAAAUGUAUGCAGUAUUUGGGUUUAUAUGCAUGUGAGCCGUUUUGUUUUUACCUGGGUCUACAAGAAGCAUCCGUUUGUCUUGAGUCAGGUUGUUCCGUUCCUCUUGGUUAAACGUCCUGUCGAUCAUGACUAUUUCUGAUGAUGGGUUACACCGCUGUAAAACAGUAUUGUAUCUUAAGCAGGUUUUUAAACUGAGUUAACAAAAAGUAAAACAAAAAACUAAGCUAAUGAGUAACUAAUGACUUUUAGGGUCAUUAAUGUCUAGUUUUAAAUAGACAAUGCCUGGCCAACUUCUGCACAUUACAACAACAUGGUUACAGAAUCAGAGAGUGUGUGGGCUUCACAAGCCUGCCUGCUGUCCAGACCUGUCUCUUGUUGAAAAUGUUCGUAUGUAAAUAAUGUGUUUUUUGAAGUGAUGUAAAGAUAAAGUGAUGUAACGUGGUAAACAAGCUCCUGUCCUAACUUUUCAGGAACAUUUUAGGUAUCACAUUUGGAUUUUUUUUUUUUUUUUUUGCAACUUGAGAUUUAGGUUCCGGUUUAUACUGAAACAUAUUGGCUGAGACAGUUCUUUGGGGCCUUCUUUUAACUGUUUUUACAUAUGUUUGCUGCUAAUGUGUUACGAAGAAGUCAUUUUGCUACAUCGUCUACUAAUGUUUUGUGUUUUACAAAAUGACAAUGUGGGCAGUUUAGCUAUGCUUAUAGUAAAAUGAAUGUGUUCUAAAGGGACAUAACCAACGAUACUAAAGCAAAUUGUCUGUUUAAGUCAUUGAAAGCUAUUUGUUUAAAAAUAUUUAAUGGUUAUGUUUAAAAUCCCCAAUAAUAAUAAUAAGGUGGGGCCUUUUAGGCAUUUUCAGAAAUGUAUUUUUACAUUGUCCAUCAAGGGGUUUGGGGGUUGUGCCAUUUUGACACAUACUAUUUCUACGGAUAUCAACCUUUGUGAUUUUAAAGAGAAACCUUAAAUACGUGUUUGGAUAACACAAUCGAAUUUAAAGUAUCACAUUGAAUAUCAAGCAUCACAAUCGAAUUUAAAAAGAAAAAUGGGAUUUAGAUGUCCUUAGUUAUGAAGUUUGUUAAGACUAUUUCAGAGAUUUGUUUUUUUACUGUAAGAUGCUCCGAAGUAAUCCUACCUCUGCCUCCACCAUUAGCAAACGCCUGUAUUUGUUCACCAUUGACUGUGUUUUCUGCAACACCUGAGUGGCAACAGCCUCAAAGUCUUCAUCAACUGCAAUAACAAACAGCAUUAAGAGCUUGAAUCUCAAACUUCCUUUCAUUUUAAAUUCAAAGUGAAGUGAAUCUUACCUUUUGCAAAAUCCUCCUCGCAAGGUGGUGUUCCUUGGAACACGUGAUAAGGCAACAAUCUUUGAGCUACAUCGUUUAAUGAAGUGAAUGGUGAAUGGUUUGGAGUCAUGACCCCCAGGUGAUCCCUCCUGAGCUGCUCAAGAAACCUAUACAAAAGUUAUUAUAUAGUUUUAGGUCAGUCAUGCAGAUGUCCAUCUUGGGUCAAACAGUGUUAGAUAGACAGCAGAGAUUGACAGCUUUUUACACAUGUCUCUGAUGUUCACUUUUGAUCAGAUUUUACUAUUUGCAGAGCUGCUAAAUCUUGAAACAAUGUCUUUCUCAAUGUCUUUCAAGGUAAGCCCUUAACAGGCCUAUAGCAAAACUAUAUUUAGAAACAACAAGGUUAUAAAUUUAGGCACAUCAUACAGCCAGGUGUCAGUGGGGCCUAAUACACCGCCCAUUAAAAUGAGAUGUGUGUAACUUACAUUCCUGCUUUACUGAGCUGCUGAUUUGCAGGUCUCUUUAAAGAUUCCUGGUUGGCAGGACUGUUUACAUCUGUAAAUGUUAACAUUAGGUUACUGUUUGAAUACACUGUUCAAAAAAUAUAAUAUUAAAAUGUUAAUAAAACAUCAUACUUUGGUUACCAAGAAGAUUAA